UACGGAGGGUGCAAGCGUUGUCCGGAUUUAUUGGGUUUAAAGGGUGCGUAGGCGGUUCGUUAAGUCCGGGGUGAAAGCCCACUGCUCAACAGUGGAACUGCCCUGGAAACUGGCGGACUUGAGUACAGACGAGGGUGGCGGAAUGGAUGGUGUAGCGGUGAAAUGCAUAGAUACCAUCCAGAACCCCGAUUGCGAAGGCAGCUGCCUAGACUGUAACUGACGCUGAGGCACGAAAGCGUGGGGAGCGAACAGG
rnacentral:rRNA from 1 species